UAUAGUGAAAGGCCAGGCCUACUGGAAACUCAGUUAAGAAUAAAAGGAGGAAUGGCUGAUUCUUUAUGUUUAACUUGUGUUCGUUCCUUGAGCGCUCCUAAUAAACCAGGGAUAACUAUCAGUGAUUCUAUUCCAAGGAAGGUUCUUAGGGUAAAUGAAGUGUUUAAGAGCUCCAGGAAUGUCAAACUUGAGUCUUUUGAGGCCUAGGCUGCAGAUAAAAAUCAAAGCACUCAAUCGAAGAGUAUUGUUUGCCCCGAUUAUGAAGCAAACGGUUCGAAACCGUGUCCUCA